rnacentral:rRNA from 1 species
UACGGAGGGUGCAAGCGUUAUCCGGAUUCACUGGGUUUAAAGGGUGCGUAGGUGGGGUGGUAAGUCAGUGGUGAAAUCUCCGAGCUUAACUUGGAAACUGCCAUUGAUACUAUCAUUCUUGAAUAUUGUGGAGGUCAGCGGAAUAUGUCAUGUAGCGGUAAAAUGCUUAGAUAUGACAUAGAACACCAAUUGCGAAGGCAGCUGGCUACACAUAUAUUGACGCUGAUGGACGAAAGCGUGGGUAGCGAACAGG